rnacentral:lncRNA from 1 species
CUGGUGCUCUCGUUCAGAUAGAUUUAGCUGGUGGUGCAGAGAUCCGUGAGCUUGCUUUUACAGGACUUUAAUGAUAUAUAAAAGCAGCACGAGGUGCUCCUGACUGUGGAUUAAUUUGGAGAUGACUUUCUCUGUUGAAGAGUAGCAAGACUCUCGCGAGUUCUUAAAAAUGCACUUGUUUGGUAUGAGAAUGAAAAGCAGUGGCUGAAGAACCAAUCUUCAAUGGGCAAGCCUUCUCUGGGUCUUGCUCCGUCACCGAGUCUGGAGUGCAGUGGUAUGAUUAUGGCUUACUUGAACUUCUGGGCUCAAGCAAUCCUCCCACCUCAGCCUCCAGAAUAGCUGGGACUAUAAGUGUGGAUCAUCAACCCUGGCUAAUUUUUUGAUUUUUUAUAGAGACGAGGUCUCACCAUGUUGCCCAGACAAGUCUUUAACUCCUGGGCUCAAGCAAUCCUCCCACCUCAGCCUCCUAAAGUGCCGGGAUUACAGGCAUGAGCCACUGUGCCUGACUUCCAGAUUUGCAUCUUAAAGGGCUGUUCCAUUGAAUGUCUGUUCUAACACGUGCCAUUUGGGAUCCCUUGGAAUCUUCAUGUACAGAACUGGUUGCUGCCUCGUUGAGUCGGUGGGGACAGAAUAGCUCCUGGUUGACAGCAUGGGUUGUGCAGAAGGACGGAUCCUGCAGACAUCAAUAUCUGGCUUUGAGUGGCACAAAGAAAUAAAGGAAUGUGGAUUCAGACCUCACUGGGAUGCUUGGCAAUUCUAAUUCUACCCCAGACUGCAAAUGGACACACAACUGUUGUGACUUUUGUUGAAGAGGAGAAGGAUGGGUGAGCAUGUGACGUUGGGAAAUUGUAUUUUCUUCUUCGAGUUCUUCUGUUUCCGAAUAUUUAAUCCUACUGUUUUCUUCUUUAGUGAAGGUCUCUUUAGUCAAUAAUCUCUUUGCUGAAAUUGCUUCGGGCAGCACAGAAGCUGGAUUCAGAAGCACACAGGUCUGGGGAUGCAGGCUUCGGCCAGCCUGAUGCAAGGAAAGACUGCCAUCUCGUGGUCAGCUCAAUCCUGGCACCUUGGUGAGGGACCAGGCUGCAGAAAACCAGGCUUGGGGAGGAAACGGUGCUGCAAACUGGAUUUCUGCCGGACAGUGUGGAUGCCCUUAGAAAACACCCAGAAAAGAGCUGAGUGCCCCCCAAGACUUGCCCUGAAUUCUUUCAUGUGCAAUAUCCGAAAACCCUCUCUUGGGGCCUGGAUCAGGACCCCUUUCCUAUAACAUCUUUCUGGCGACAACAAAGGGACAAUGGUGUGGAAUCCCCCUUCCCAAAUGCUACUUUUAGAUAUCACCUUUUGUCGGAACUUGGAGUUGGUAAUGACCUUCACCAUACCACCACUCUGGGACUGAGCUUCUCUCUACCCUGAUGCAAGAGACCCUAAUAGGCAGGAAUAUGACCACCCCUAUUCAGCCUGAAGAAGUUACAGAAGUUCUGAAACCCUUAGAAAUGAGGGUCUUCUUGUAAAGGGAGUGGGGAGAUAUAUCAGAGGCAUUUGAACCAGAGCAACUCCAUCUUGAGUGAGGGCUAGGAAAAUGAGGCUAGGACUUGCUGGGCUGCAUUCUCAGAAAGUCAGUCAUUCCUAGCCUCUAGAUGUUUACGGUUAAGGGAACAAAUUUAUAACAUUUACUAAACACACCCAGACUUGGGAGUGUCCAGAUAUCCCAAUAUCUGGAGAACAAAGGCAUUCCUAAUUUUGCUUUAAAGACAAUAAUAUUGAUUCUUGCAAAAUAUAGUAAUUAAGAAAAUUAAUCCUUUAUCACAAACCCUUGUAGUAAAACACAUCUCCCCAUAUAUACAAGCAUUGUACCUAAGGUGGAUGCGUUCCAUCUCUUACUUUCAGGAAUGUCCUACACUAUCUAAGGAGUAGCUGUACUUUCACCACUUUACUUUCUUAAUAAACUUGUUUUUACUUUGCA